rnacentral:rRNA from 1 species
UACGUAGGAGGCAAGCGUUGUCCGGAGUUACUGGGCGUAAAGCGCGCGCAGGCGGUUGCUCAAGUUUGGGGUGACAGUUCCCGGCUUAACCGGGAAAGUGCUUCAAAAACUGGGUGACUUGAGGGCUUCAGAGGGAUGCGGAAUUCCGGGUGGAGUGAUGAAAUGCGUAGAUAUCCGGAGGAACACCAAAGGCGAAGGCAGCAUCCUGGGAAGUACCUGUCGCUCAGGUGCGAAAGCUAGGGGAG